rnacentral:rRNA from 1 species
UACAGAGGGUGCGAGCGUUGUCCGGAAUCACUGGGCGUAAAGCGCGUGUAGGCUGCUUCGCAAGUCGGAUGUGAAAGCCCUGGGCUCAACCCAGGAAGUGCAUUCGAAACUGCAGAGCUGGAGUCCUGGAGAGGAAGGCGGAAUUCUCGGUGUAGAGGUGAAAUUCGUAGAUAUCGAGAGGAACACCGGUGGCGAAGGCGGCCUUCUGGACAGUGACUGACGCUGAGACGCGAAAGCGUGGGGAGCAAACAGG